UCUUCUUCAGUUCGGCGGUUCCAAAUUAACAGAGUUCGUGUUCUUCUUCUUCUUCGGAUAGAUUUUGUGAUUCUUCCCUAAUAAUUGAGUUUCGGUAAUGGAUCUAGGGGUUUUGAUCUCGGGUUGCAUAUUUUUUUUGGGUUCAAGUAUGGGGGCUACGUACGGGACGAUGAAGAGCGGGGUGGGAGCGGCGUCGAUGGGCGUGAUGAGGCGGGAGUUGGUGAUGAAGUUGAUCGUGCCGGUUGUCAUGGCAGGAGUGUUGGGUAUAUAUGGUCUCAUCAUCGCCGGGAUCUCGCUUGUGGCUACACCCACCUCUCCUUUGGUCUCGCUUGGGCCUUAUUGGCCUCUCCGUUGGUAUGGCCAUUGGCAUCGUUGGUGACGGUGGUGUAAGGAAAAAUUAAAUUGGAAAUUGGCCUUACUAGAAGGGAAAGUAGAGAGAUCGGUUUUGUGCUGUUUCUAAGCGCGUGGAGGCAGGAAGCCACUAGAGGUCUGACCUCCAUCAACACAAAUUGUCUGUCCAGUUAUGUAGGAGGAUGCGGGUAGGCAGAGGAAUGCAACCAUCGAUGAGACCUCCUUCGGCUCACCCCACCGUCCAACAGGACUUUGCGAAGCUAAACUUUUCAAAAGCUGUUCGUUUGCAAAAGCCUGCAAUGGUAGACCAAAUCACAGCAAACAUUAGAGGGCGGUCCUACAUUUUAUAAUUAACAUCCAUCCUACUCCAUGAUAAGAAGAGUUUUUUAAAGGAAGAUUAUGUAGUGAAAGAUACAACUAAUAAAAACUACAAAUGGGCCACUUCCCGCUGUGCA